AGAUGAGACUGGACCAGCUGGAGGUCUGGAUGUCUGGAUGUCUGUAGACCUGGAGGUCUGGAUGUCUGGAGGUCUGUAGACCUGGAGGUCUGGGUGUCUGGAGGUUUGUAGACCUGGUGGUCUGUAGACCUGGAGGUCUGGGUGUCUGGAGGUCUGUAGACCUGGAGGUCUGGAUGUCUGGAGGUCUGUAGACCUGGA